GUAGACCGCUGUUAACCCACGCAAUGAGGUUUCGUCGUUUCCUAAACCGUGCGUCGCAGGUUCGAAUCCUGCCGGGG
rnacentral:tRNA from 1 species